UAAUCGCGUGGCGAUAUAGUAUUCACUUCUUCGUAGGAAUAAAAAAAUACUUAAAACGCUGAGUUUCGCUUUGGGUGGAAACUUUAUUGAAUCGCAGUUUUUGUAUACCUUUAAAAAGUUUUUCAACUAUAUUCGCUCGCUGUCGUGAUGCUACUGAAGCAAUCGCGAUGGCGAGGAACCCGAUUCCCGAUCCUGAGGUCAUUCGCCUUCCCUGUAUCCGAACCCGUUACAGUGCCCUCUGUACGUGAGAGUGUAGAAUCUCUCGCGAUCGCAAAUGCUGAAUGUUUUGCUGUCAGCCGCGGUGACAGUUCUCUAUUUGUUUACGACUCGCAGCAACAGAUUACUUUAACUCAUUCUCUUACAUCACAGCAUAAUUUCGGCUAUAUUAUAAAUCUAUAUUCUGUGCACUAACCUGCGAAAUGGAUGCGUCCAAACAAACUUACUUUAACAACAUUGAAGUGGCUGCUUUUGUGGCCCUGUGGUUUAACCCACCAAACUAAUUGUGUUUUGGCUUUGUUUGAUGGAACUGAAUUUUUAGUAAAAGAAAUUGGUGGUGUUUUCGGUAUCUUGAUUAUUUGUGCUAUUUUUGUGUUGGAAAACGUUUGCAUCCCGUGUAAAAAAAUGAGAGAAAUAAAUUCUUUAAGGCUACUUCAACGCAGUGCCAAAAAUUAGUGUUUUUUAUUCUCUCUCUUAUAAUCGUUUGUACACUUGUUCGCUUUUGUCGUUAAGGGCCGAUUCCGCGGUUUUCUCCCUUUUUAUAUGUUUUGAACCGGAUCAAAACAUCGCCUGGUCUGAAAGAUGUUGGAACCUUACAAAUGUUCCAACACUAUGUCAUGUAUGUUUAAUCUCUUUCUGUUUUGUUUUACCCAUUAUUAUCGUUUUGGUUUUGUUUAUGUUUAUUUCUAAUUUUAGUUCGCAUAUUGCUGUAUAAAUUUCUAUUAUACCUAUUUGGAGGGUUCUAUUUAGCAGAGUUAUGUUUUUAUCUGCAGCCAUUAUAGCAAAAUCAUCUGCAUACUGUAUUAGCCUAAUCUUUGGUAUUUUGUUCAUCCUACUAUUUUUUUCGUAUAAAUAUUAUAUAAUGUAGGGGACAUCACGUCACACUGUGGCAGUCCAUCAAUGACUAGUGUAACGGUACUUUAUUCGCUGGAUACCUCCGUCCUCACUCACUAUCGCUUAUCUAAUGCCUAUCUCUCUCUCUUUUGAUAGCUAUCGCUCUCAUCCUUAUCUGCCUGCAUCUUAUCGUUUUGCGCUUAUCGUUUCGCACUUAAGGUGAGUGUGGAAAAAGCGACUUAAUCGACUUUAAUAUUCAAAGAAAACGACUGAAAAGGCUUCGACUCGGCUUCUUUAAUGGAAGUACUCAAAAUUAAAUGAACUGAAAAACUGCGUUGAUCUCGCUUUAUUUGCCUUAAUCCGGCUUAGUUUUUUCUUUAUUUAAUUAAAGGGUACUGGUCGAGCGAUUAAAAAAAAUCCGUGUCUCUCCUUCGCUUAUUUUGUCGCUACUGCCUUCGUGUUUUUUGAUUCGUGUCGUGGCAGCCCUCUAGCGUUCGGUUCUGUGGUCCGUCGCAGGCGGCCAUCUAGCGCAAGGUUCCAUCCGUCUUGUCGGGCGGCUUGUGAUGGUUGUCUGGCUGUCAAGGCUGUUUUGACAACAUUUAGCAGUUAGUUUGUGCACAAUUGGGUUGAUUUAUUUUUUUUAAAACCAAAAGAUCUGUCUGGGAGUAUUUUGUUUCUUAUGCAGUGUUGUAAACAACAGGCGAUCGGUACUGUCCAGUCAGUUGAACCGGUUGAUAAACCGGCAGCCCCAAUUAUCCGUGAUCGUUCCGGAUAAUACAGAAUAUACAAUUGUAAAAGAAAGGACCGAGAGAAUGAGAGAAGAGUUACGCGAUUGUUGGCGCAAACGCCAUCGCGAAAGAUCAAUAGCAAAUCAAGCGGUGAAUAAAGUGCAGCAAUUUUUUAUAACUUUGUGAAAGCAAUUUUCAAA